UACGUAAGGUCCAAGCGUUAUCCGGAAUUACUGGGCGUAAAGCGUCUGUAGGCGGCGCAGUAAGUUAGGUGCGAAAUCUCGCGGCUCAACCGUGUAGACUGUGCUUAAAACUACUGUGCUCGAGGUUGGUAGAGGCAAGUGGAACUUCCGGUGUAACAGUGACAUGUGUAGAUAUCGGAAAGAACACCAAUGGCGAAGGCAGCUUGCUGGGCCACACCUGACGCUCAGAGACGAAAGCGUGGGGAGCGAACGGG
rnacentral:rRNA from 1 species